ensembl:lncRNA
CACAGUUUCUUUGCAAUUUUAAUUUGCAUCUCAUUUCAAAACAUUUUCAGGGCUUUCAUGGUCACGUUUCCACUAUUGGAGACAUUUAGCAUGCUCAUGUGCUUAUUUUGCAUCUGUGUGGUGAUUUUAUAGGUUUUUGUUUUCUAUGGAAGGUCAUUUUUGUGUCUUUAUUGUUCUUCUCUCCUCACUGAACUGGUAGAAUUGUGUCUCAACGUACUUUUUAAGGUAAUCAAAAAUUUGUUAAUAAUAAGUUUGUUAAUAAUUUUGUGUCAUUUUGAGUUUGUUUUGUGUCUUUGUUUGUUUUUGCAUAAAUAAGAGCAAAACAUUGCAGAUUCAUUGGAAAAAAGGAGCGAAUCAUUAUUUCAGACAUUCAUUCUCCACACCACUCUCCACCACAAAAAACAAACAAACAGAAAUUUGCACUUUUAUCCUAAAGCAUUGCCAUUGUGGCUUCAGAGGCUGUUCUCAAUUGGCUCAUGCAAAAGAGUUUAAUGAACCACAAAUGUAGGAGCCCUUCUCACUCUGGGCCAUAAACUGAAAACAAUCGCUAAUCCAACAAAUGUAUGAACUGCUGAGAGAAAGAGUCCCCGUCAUUACAGAAACAAAGAGCCAAACAUAAUCUGUAUUUAAACAGUAAAAGUGUUUCCAUAGCAGGUUUAUGAUAUUAAGCACCACUGGAUUCCUGCCAAAUCUUAGUUUAGCUCAUUGCAUCACCACCUAAGCUAACUGUAAACAGGCCAUUUGGUUUGUAAUUUUUGGCCAAUAAUUAACAGAAAUAAGCAGUCACGUAAUUUUAAGACCAAUGGAACGAGGACAAAUCCAGUCUUGGUUUUGAACUCAGGAGGAAAUUUGAGAGCUUUGUGCUUUUGAAAUGUCAGUGGACUCAUUUGCGGAAACGUUGCUGGGUUUUGGCCCUGCUGAGGACACAAUGAAAUGAAACCUAUGGGAAACAUUUUUUAGAUAUUACUCCUCAGUAAAGACCUUCCACCAAGCCAGCAGCAGCAGGCUUGACAAUCUGAGUUGUUAAGGUGUUAAUCUGAGUUGAC